CUAACAAGGAACGAAUCUAGCACAAUAGCCGACGUCUACGCAGGCCAAAGAGCCCAUUGAACAUAUCCAUCCGUAGUGAUCAGAACCACGUUCCUCGAGUAAGAUCCGGAUGGAACCGGAUUCGGAAAGCGCGAAUCCUGGUCCGCGCUUCCGGAGACCCGGGUCGAUUCAGCGUCGCGACGAUUCGGCCCAAUGCCACGAAAGCUCCUCGGAGCCAUGCGCGUUCGGGGGACGCGACGGGGACGGCAAUCGCUGUGUGUUAGCCUACAAUUAGAUACAGAGCUCGUUGCAGCGAUCGCGUCUCUCGCCGUCCUUACACAACGCAGGCGUUGCGUUGCGACGACGCUCUUCUUGUGCACCGGCGCUCCUCCACACCUACGCACCUACACACCUACACCUGCACACCGGUACCUACAUGGUGCUAAACCGCGCAGACUCGCGGAGGGAGUAGAGCGGUAUCAGCUCGAAUCAGCCCGAAGGGCCCCGGCAGUGUGUGCCUUCCUUUCGGUUACUUUCUGUUCCUUCCUAACGAAAACCAGACGCGCGAGGCCAAUCCGAGAGGCUCCAGAAUGAAGUACUCGCCGCAGCAGCAGCAGAAGGAGAGGAAAUCGGAGAGCGAUUUGGGAUCGGUGCAGGGAACGCCGGCCCGGGAAACUCUCAACUCAGCCCAGGUAUCCCAGCAGAAUCUUUCGAGCGGUUCCUCGUCAGGUUCCGGAGCACGGUCAUCGGGGUCGUCGGGCGUCUUCGCCUGGACGAGGGUCUUCCGGCUAGCCUCGAUGCUGCCGCAGAUCGGCUGCUAGUUCACGGCCUUGCGGAAGGUCGAAGCUGCAGCGCCUGCAGAGAAAAUAGAGGAUGCAUAGACGAUAAGAGACGAAUGCGUUGCUAGAACGCGAACUCUAGCAGCUAGCACGUAUCACUAUAAUAUUCUUAUAGAGAGGAGUUUGCGGUUUAAUUCGUAUACGUACCGCGGCUGCAGUGAUUUAAGGCUAGACUUUAAACCGUUACCAAACCUCUUGUUAUAUCGUAUAAGUUUCAGAUACUUUAUCGAGUCAUUUUCUGCUAUUUAAUACGUCGUAGAACGAUCGUUUGCCGUCGGGACUCGCGUUCGCAGAUCCAAUCUAAGGAACCGUUCGUACGGAUGAACGAAUUUACGGGUUCGUCUGAUCCGACGACUAGCUGCGAGUCUGGAAUUAGCGAUGCUGGGGUGAAAUCAUGGAUCAGCUCGCAUCGAACAUAUCCGAACAAUUGAGUAAUAAAGGCACCAGUUAUUUUCGCCGCUUGUUUUUUUUUAUGUUAUAUUCUUUUAAUUUUUUUUAUUUCUCAUUUGCGUCUUAUCGAUUUACAUCUUACAUCCCACGCGCUCGGUACGAUCAAAGGCUGUGUUAAUGCACUGUUAUGUAGAAUUAAUGAGGGCUUCUGCGCAAACGUAUCCACACAUUCUCGCUAAUUUUAUCGCAACAUGAAUGGGUCGAUCCGCAAACGAGCCACUUGGUUUGUUCAGAAUCAUCUGCGUGGCAUUUAUAACUUACAGUCAAUACUUCAACGAUGCUUUUCACUAGUCAAUCACGAUUGCGUUUCGGGCAAACGAUAAGUCGAAAGUUUUUUGCCUCAUUUUUUGGGAGUUACUGAGCAGGUCGGAUCGAUUUGUGGAAAUAAAAGGUAUAAGAUACGUGCGGAAUAAUGGUGCUUUUGGGAGCGAUGAUUUAGAUUCCCAAUGUCUUAAUUAGUUUUUAAUUGAAACGCGAUUUGUUUAUCGAAAUUGUUAUACCGAGCGAGAAACGUGGGUGUUGCUACAAUCAUCCUAAUGCGAUGCGCAAUUGAACCUUAAAUUUGUAAUCUAAAUUCAUGGAAAUACUUUCGAUUGAAAAUAAUUUAGCUCGAAUGCACGCACGCGAUAAUUUAAUACGAAAUUAUUCAGUACACUGGUAGUGCGUAGAUUGAAGUAUUAUUCAAAAGCCGCAAAUUAUGCUUGCACAUAACUUUGCAGAUCACGUUUGGCUGAAAAAUAUACGUAAGAAUAAAUUUCGUAGCACGAAUUUUACUGACGAUCAAAAUUAUUCGUCGACUAACGCUGUGAGCUUCCUUUUCCUGGAAAGAAGUAUACGAUGCCGAAUUUUCUUGAAUAACCGUUAAACGUUGCUUUUGUUGUUUUUCGACUCCCGGGCAAGUUCUCCAAAAUCCCAAUAAAAUAAUUGUAUCAACAAAUUGGUGAACGGAUGCCCAGUUUGUUCCACGUUAGACAAUAUUUAGUUUUUAGAAAAAAUAAGAAAAAAUAUGAAUGUUAUUUAAUUACUGUUAUAUUAUAUAUUGUAUUAAAGAUUCUUACAUCAGACUACACGUACUCUUACUCUCACCAAAUAUGAACCACCGUAUACAUGUGUCUAACACGCAUGUGUACGUGUACGUACGACGGUACACAUAAACACGACACAGACACAAAUACGUAUAUACCCAUUAAUUUAAACGCUAUUAAGAUUUAAUAAUGUUAUAUCUCGUUAAUCAUCAUAUUCAUAUAUUUUACUAAUGUGUAAAAUCAAUCAAUAAACUAUUUACUUAUCA